rnacentral:rRNA from 2 species
GGGUUGUGAGGUUAAGCGACUAAGCGUACACGGUGGAUGCCCUGGCAGUCAGAGGCGAUGAAGGGCGUGCUAAUCUGCGAUAAGCGCCGGUAAGGUGAUAUGAACCGUUAUAACCGGCGAUACCCGAAUGGGGAAACCCAGUGUGAUUCGUCACACUAUCAUUAACUGAAUCCAUAGGUUAAUGAGGCGAACCGGGGGAACUGAAACAUCUAAGUACCCCGAGGAAAAGAAAUCAACCGAGAUUCCCCCAGUAGCGGCGAGCGAACGGGGAGGAGCCCAGAGCCUGAAUCAGCAUGUGUGUUAGUGGAAGCGUCUGGAAAGGCGCGCGAUACAGGGUGACAGCCCCGUACACAAAAGCGCAUGUGCUGUGAGCUCGAUGAGUAGGGCGGGACACGUGGUAUCCUGUCUGAAUAUGGGGGGACCAUCCUCCAAGGCUAAAUACUCCUGACUGACCGAUAGUGAACCAGUACCGUGAGGGAAAGGCGAAAAGAACCCCGGCGAGGGGAGUGAAAAAGAACCUGAAACCGUGUACGUACAAGCAGUGGGAGCACAGGUUUACCUGUGUGACUGCGUACC